GCGUUCCUGUGUGAUGGGGCCGGAGCCAGUAAACAGGCUUCCUUCUCGCUCUGCUGUAUAAGAAGAAGAAGUAGGAGAAACAAAAUAAGGAGGAGAAGAAGUAAAAUAAUUUGAGAAGGAAUAUGAAGGUAGUUUUACAGAAACUGGCAGAUGUGCUGCUAAGAACACAGCUGGAUAGAAAUAUAUUAUGAACAAAGCUAUAAAAAGACAGCUUCUCUAUUUGUCUGAAUCUCUCAGCUACAUGGUCAGUGAUGCUUAAGGAAGACUAAAAAUACGUAUAGCUAUAGCUUUAUGGAAUCGGCAGGCAGGACGCCAUUAGUAUGACAGCAUUUUGCUUCAGCCUCAGGUGAAACAUGAAGAUGAUGGUGGACAGGUGAGCUACGCAGUUCGUGGAAGAACCAGGGGUCACAUGGCCUAGAUGCUACCCUAGAUGAGAAAGAGUCCAAUGGUUAUCAACAAGUUCUGAAAGGCAAGGCCUAAGGUACUGAAAAUUAUAUUACUCAAAGCUGAAGGCAGCAAAUCUGUUCAUGUUUACACAGUUGGGAAAGUGGACUUGUGUUUUUUACAAGCAAACCAGUGACCAGCCAAUGGCAGGAGACCUUCCCCACCCCUAAAGGUGAUGCUCACCUACCGUCAUGGGUAAAAGGAAGCUCUGGCUCGAAUUCCUCAUGUAUUAUUCAUGUGUGAUGCCACCCAACGUGAUUCAGAGAAGAAAAUUCUCAGUGUGUUCACCAGAGGUGAUUACAUGAGAAUAAAGCACGGCCUGAUUUUUUUUCUUGUUCACAGGAAAAAAAAAAGAAAAGAAUGUAGAAUUUCUGAUGUGGGAUUGUUUCGACCUUGGAGAGUGUCCGUAUGAGACACAUGUGUGGUAUACAAAACACCUUUAAGAUUUAAUCAGAAUUGUAUAUCUUUCCAAAUUAAAUUGAUUGCUCCCUCAAA
ensembl:lncRNA LINC02301 long intergenic non-protein coding RNA 2301